rnacentral:rRNA from 1 species
UACGGAGGGGGCUAGCGUUGUUCGGAAUUACUGGGCGUAAAGCGCACGUAGGCGGCUUUGUAAGUUAGAGGUGAAAGCCCAGGGCUCAACCCUGGAAUUGCCUUUAAGACUGCAUCGCUUGAACAUCGGAGAGGUAAGUGGAAUUCCGAGUGUAGAGGUGAAAUUCGUAGAUAUUCGGAAGAACACCAGUGGCGAAGGCGGCUCACUGGUCCGGUACUGACGCUGAGGUGCGAAAGCAUGGGUAGCAAACAGG